CUUAGCUUUUUACGAUUAGUUUCGACCUAGUCUUUUGUUGGCUAAAU
rnacentral:tRNA from 1 species